rnacentral:rRNA from 1 species
UCGAGCGGGUUUAGACCCGCGGCAAACGGGUGAGUAAUACCCAGGAACGUACCUUUAGUUGAGCAUAACCCACCGAAAGGUGGAGCAAUUCUCAAUGUGAUCGCAAGAUUAAAGCAGCAAUGCGCUAAAGAAGCGGCCUGGGCACCAUCAGCUAGUUGGUAAGGUAAAAGCUUACCAAGGCUAUGACGGUUAGGGGCCCCGAGAGGGGAAACCUCCACACUGGAACUGAGACACGGUCCAG